UCGGAUCUGGUGCAUGGUACACGCCUUCUGUCACUAGGUUUUGAACACACCAUCCUACAUGAGGGAAUACGGGGUUCAAUUCCCCGGGUCCGAA